UUGCUCUUCAACGAGGAAUGCCUAGUAGGCACAAGUCAUCAGCUUGUGCCGAUUACGUCCCUGCCCUUUGUACACACCGCCCGUCGCUACUACCGAUUGAAUGGCUCAGUGAGGCCUCCGGACUGGCCCAGGGGGGUUGGCAACGACCGCCCAGGGCCGGAAAGCUGGUCAAACUUGGUCAUUUAGAGGAAGUAAAAGUCGUAACAAGGUUUCCGUAGGUGAACCUGCGGAAGGAUCAUUACAGUGUCUGGCUGGGCGUCCCCUAGGGGUCGCCCGCUACUGACCACCCUUGCCUACCUAACCACUGUUGCUUCGGCAGGCCCGCUCCUGGUGCUCCCUAACCGGGGCCCGGGUGCGGCCUGGGGCCUGGCUUAACCGCCGCCCGGGUGAGCGCCUGCCGGGGGAUUAGUUGAAACACUUGUUGAUCAGUGAGAACUCUGAGUUGAUUGCAAAAUCGUUAAAACUUUCAACAACGGAUCUCUUGGUUCCAGCAUCGAUGAAGAACGCAGCGAAAUGCGAUAAGUAAUGUGAAUUGCAGAAUUCCGUGAAUCAUCGAAUCUUUGAACGCACAUUGCGCCCUCUGGUAUUCCGGGGGGCAUGCCUGUCCGAGCGUCAUUACACCAAUCAAGCACGGCUUGUGAGUUGGGUCACCGUCCCCUAAUAAGGACGGGCCCGAAACGCAGUGGCGGCGUCGCGGUUUCUCGAUCAGCCAGAGUGUAUGGGGAUUUCAUUCACACGCUCAAGGCCGGGACCGGCGCCAGUCGAUAACCAAACUAUUUAUCAAGGUUGACCUCGGAUCAGGUAGGGAUACCCGCUGAACUUAAGCAUAUCAAUAAGCGGAGGA
rnacentral:rRNA from 1 species